UGGUGUGACAUGGGCACAGA
rnacentral:piRNA from 1 species